ACAAAGGGUUGUGUCAUAAUUGACCUCUGUGUAGGCACUGAAGAAUCUUUUCAUAAAUGUGAAAGCUGGCGGGCCACCUACUACGACAAAAAUAGACACACCUGAAAACUGAUAUUGAACUACAACAGUAAGCUAUGCUUUCAGGAGAGAUACCUGAUAUGUUCCUUGGCUUGUGUGAAAGGUGAAACAGCACCUUGCUUUACCAAAUUAACAGUACUUUUUAUUCCACUGUCACCUAAUCCUCUGCACUAGAAUAAGAGACGGACACAAAAGUCGUAGUCCACCGAGGAUCCAUGAGAUGCUGCCCUGAAGUCUUUCAGUCUUUCAGGCUCUUCUGUUUUCAAGUUUCCUUAGAGUGUGUAUGACUACUUACGGAGCUGAUGCGGUAUCUCUGAUAUUAAAAUCAUAUAUGCACACACAUAUAUCUCACGCAUAAUAACAUUAUGUAUACAUACUUUUUAAAUCUCUACAAUUGAAUUUUUCAUUGUCAAAAACAAAUGAACAGAAGGAAAAAAAAA